rnacentral:lncRNA from 1 species
CACAAAGAAGAAACUUUUUUUCAUUAUUGGUUCUCACUAAAAGGUAAAGCUUUUUAAUCACCCUUUGGCGAGGUUCUCAUCUUCCUGGAGGUCGCCUGCUUGUUCCAAAAUGAGCCAUCCAAGUUCCAACUUAUUUUUGUGGUCGGAACCUACCUAUUCACUUGUCUAAGUUUUAUGAUGAAGUUCUCUAUGCUACAACCAACUAAAUGCUUUUUAUUCCAAAUAAAAGAGAGUUAGACGGAUUGUCAAGAGAAUCGGUCCAGGUAUGUUAAGGCUAUCCCUUCUAUUCUUUUGGCAUGAUCCAUACGAUACGAACAAAACAUACAAAUGCACAAAUUCCAUAAAUGACUCUAUUCAUAGAAGUAUUAGAGAUAUCUAUUUUCUUGUAAUUUCCAUGUGUNNNNNNNNNNNNNNNNNNNNNNNNCGUUAUAUACGCAGCACCACCUGAUCAGCUGGUAUAAGAUGAUGAUUUUGCCCACAGUGGCCGAUAUGAUAUGAUGGGAUGCUCUCAAAGGCUGAUGAUAUUAUGAAACAUGUACCUAUGCACGACAUGACAUUCAUAUGCAUAUGUAUGACGCUAAAAGUAUUUCAUGAUUUACAAAGUUAUUCCGAAUUAUAGGUUGAGUCAAGUACUCUAUAUUUCUUCUAUGUUUGUUAUGUACUUAUUUAUGUGCCAUACAUACUCGGUACAUUUUUCAUACUGACAUCCCUUUUUCCUGGGGACGCUGUGUUUCAUGCCCGCAGGUCCCGAUAGACAGGUCGAGAGCCGUUCAAGUAGGCUAUCAGCUCAGUGGAAAAUAUUGGUGCGCUCCAUUUGCUUCGGAGUUUCUUGUUUGGUUAGUAUGAUUUAGAUGUGUAUUGUUUGGUAUGGCGGGACUCUAUCCCGACCUUUAUGACAUUUAUGUACUCUUAGAGGCUUGUAUACAUAUGUCAUAUACGUGAAAGAUUGUACGGCCUUGACGGCCUAUGUUUGAGUUUAUAAAUGAUUAUGUUGGCCAACUAGGCCCGUAUGUCACUUGUAUAUAAUGAUGUAAUAAGAAAUAUACAUUACGUUGGUACUCGGUCGAGUAAGGUACCAGGUGUCGAUCUCGCUCCCAGGUUCAGGGCGUGACAAAAGUGGUAUCAGAGCAGUUCU